rnacentral:lncRNA from 1 species
CCCUGGCCUAAGGUCAUUGUCUUAUUUGGCCACACAAAUGAUUGUUGGAAUCUUCUAACAACUUUUAAAAUGUAGGUAUGAUUUGCUACUGACAUCCACAGCUAACAAACCUAAUCUACAGACAUGAUCUGUUACUGACGCCCACAAAUAAUAACCUUAGUUCAUAGGUUAGUGGGUGAAUUCCAGUGGCUUGUCAGAUCAUGGCUCCAUUGGCCCUAACAGUCUACCAAAUUCUCGCAUGUCAGCCUAUAGUUUUAUCUCUAUGUAA